rnacentral:rRNA from 1 species
GAUAAACGCUGGCGGCGUGCCUAAUACAUGCAAGUCGAACGAGAAUAGAAAGAAACUUGUUUCAAUUUAUUCUAGUGGCGAACUGGUGAGUAAUACAUAAGCAACCUGCCUAUAUGGACUGGGAUAACGUUUGGAAACGAACGCUAAUACCGGAUAGGUAAUCGGAAAGGCAUCUUCUGAUUAUUAAAGGUUAGAAACACAAAUAGAUGGGCUUAUGGCGCAUUAGCUAGUUGGUGAGGUAACGGCUCACCAAGGCGAUGAUGCGUAGCCGACCUGAGAGGGUGAUCGGCCACAUUGGGACUGAGACACGGCCCAAACUCCUACGGGAGGCAGCAGUAGGGAAUUUUCGGCAAUGGGGGAAACCCUGACCGAGCAACGCCGCGUGAGUGAUGAAGGCCUCGGUUGUAAG